ACAAAUAUUAUUUAAUAUUGAGCUCAAUAAAUGAAAAAAUAUUAACCAAUAUUAUUUUUUCAAGAAUAAAUAUUGUUCUGAUAAAGUCUUCAAUUGAUUUAGAGUUUGUCAAAAACAAUAGACUGAUAAAAAAUAAGAAAAUUCUUCUUUAUUAAUAUUUCCCUUGUUUUUCGUUUUUCGUAUCAGCGUGCCUACAAUUUACAUUGUUUAUAGUAUUAUUUUUACUCAUUUGAUUAUUUUUAGUUCUUUUUCUUCAUUUGCUGGGAAAAGUGAUGAUGCGAUAUUUUAAAAGAUAUAGUUGUUUGACACGUUUUUGAGGAAUUUCAAUCAAGAUCAUGUCCAAAGCAUGUGAAAAUACGAACCAACUAAUUCAAAUAGUCUUCAUAUCGUGGGAGAUACUGCUUCCUCUACAUCGGAUUAUGUAGGAUUUAGAGGAAGUUCAUAAAUUUUUUCUACUCCUCUCGGUUAUUAAACUAUACAAAAAUACAAUUUCUCUUUUUGGAUCGGGGAAAGUAUUUUUCAAAAAAAAAUAAUUAAAAAAGGAUGAGGUGAACAUAAGAUAUUACAAAUAUUCUUUCUGGAGUCAAGGUACAGAUUAAACAUUUUUGUAUUAUUGAUGUAUUCAACGGUUUACCAGAGAACCUUCAAGUCUUUUCCCCCCACUAUCGAGUGAGAACUAGACCACUUGAUCCUGGAAGAAAUUGAAAAUGAGAAAGGAUUCAUUUUUUAGAGGAUUAGGAUCUACCCAUGUUCGACCAUGUGCCAACUAGUUUCCUGAAAACUUGAAUUAUUUCAGUUUUACAUAUUAAGACACGUUCAUGAGAUCCAACACUUUUUAAAUGAUCGCUAUAAUGUCUUGGAGUAGCGUAGAACGUGCGUUUGCAGUCAAAGCCUACUUUUUCGAAUAGACUGACUGCACGUUUUUGGAAAUUGUUUCAAUGUGGUCCCUAAAGACACUGUUCUGCACAACAAAUCAAUUGUUUCAAGUAUAACUACGUUCAAACAGGCCAUAAGUACGACACAACAAAUAAUUGGAGUACUUCAGCUCGUCCGAUCACCAGAGAAACAUUGGGGGAACGCGAACUUCGAACUUGUAAUCCCUACCACGUUCUGAGUGUAAACAUGCCUCUACCCUGGGACUUUCCAAUCGUUCAGUGAGGCGAAUACUUCAGGAUUACUUUCACUGCCCCCUUUACAAGAUACCAACUAUGCAGGAACUCCCCGAACAUGAAUUCAGAUCGCUAUGUAAAUAUGUUGGAUGAAUUUUUCUUCCACUAAUUGAUUAAUUAGACCUAGAAGAUAUUUGGUUUCAACGGGACGGAGCCAUGACACACAGUUCAAUGACUGUUUUGAGAGAACACUUUCCAGAGCGUCUCAUUUCAAUCAGGGGCGAUUUGGAGUGGCCAGUACGUUCCACCGAUUAUCCCGCUUGUGAUUUUUUAUUUGUUGUGAUAUUUGUAAUCCUGUGUUUAUGUCAACUAUCAGAGAAUCCUACAAGACUUAAAGGUCAACGUCCCAGAAGAAAAAAUCAAUACACGCACUAAUACACUGAUGAGGAACAUGGCAAGUACCAUAAAUCGAUUUAUUCAGUGCAUGGGCAAUUGAGGACGUCACCUAACUAAUAAGAUUUUCAAAACCGUGUGAAUAAAACUUUAAGUGAGCUAUUAUUAUAAAACAAAACUUUAAGCUAGCUGAUGAAUAUUACUAAUUUUAUUCAGAAGAUAUUUAAAGUCAAGUUACUAAAAUUUGUACAGGGUUGUUACAAAAUAAAUAUGUGAGGGGAGUUUUUUGAAAAUUUGAAGGAAUUGUUUUUGAAAACUAUUGAAUAAUCUUUUUUAAA
rnacentral:lncRNA from 1 species